rnacentral:rRNA from 1 species
ACACGGAGGGUGCGAGCGUUGUUCGGAAUCACUGGGCGUAAAGCGCGCGUAGGCGGUGGUGUAAGUCGCGUGUGAAAUACCGGGGCUCAACCCCGGGACUGCAUGCGAUACUGCACAACUAGAGCAUGGUAGAGGCAAGUGGAAUUCCCGGUGUAGCGGUGGAAUGCGUAGAUAUCGGGAAGAACACCAGUGGCGAAGGCGGCUUGCUGGGCCAUUGCUGACGCUGAGGUGCGAAAGCGUGGGGAGCAAACAGGAUUAGAAACCCCAGUAGUCC